GAGGGGAGUGAAAAAGAACCUGAAACCGUGUACGUACAAGCAGUGGGAGCCUCUUUAUGGGGUGACUGCGUACCUUUUGUAUAAUGGGUCAGCGACUUAUAUUCUGUAGCAAGGUUAACCGAAUAGGGGAGCCGAAGGGAAACCGAGUCUUAACUGGGCGUUAAGUUGCAGGGUAUAGACCCGAAACCCGGUGAUCUAGCCAUGGGCAGGUUGAAGGUUGGGUAACACUAACUGGAGGACCGAACCGACUAAUGUUGAAAAAUUAGCGGAUGACUUGUGGCUGGGGGUGAAAGGCCAAUCAAACCGGGAGAUAGCUGGUUCUCCCCGAAAGCUAUUUAGGUAGCGCCUCGUGAAUUCAUCUCCGGGGGUAGAGCACUGUUUCGGCAAGGGGGUCAUCCCGACUUACCAACCCGAUGCAAACUGCGAAUACCGGAGAAUGUUAUCACGGGAGACACACGGCGGGUGCUAACGUCCGUCGUGAAGAGGGAAACAACCCAGACCGCCAGCUAAGGUCCCAAAGUCAUGGUUAAGUGGGAAACGAUGUGGGAAGGCCCAGACAGCCAGGAUGUUGGCUUAGAAGCAGCCAUCAUUUAAAGAAAGCGUAAUAGCUCACUGGUCGAGUCGGCCUGCGCGGAAGAUGUAACGGGGCUAAACCAUGCACCGAAGCUGCGGCAGCGACACUAUGUGUUGUUGGGUAGGGGAGCGUUCUGUAAGCCUG
rnacentral:rRNA from 1 species